rnacentral:rRNA from 1 species
UGGGGAAUUUUGGACAAUGGGCGAAAGCCUGAUCCAGCCAUGCCGCGUGAGUGAAGAAGGCCUUCGGGUUGUAAAGCUCUUUUAGUCGGAAAGAAAGAGUUGCAAUGAAUAAUUGUGAUUUAUGACGGUACCGACAGAAAAAGCACCGGCUAACUACGUGCCAGCAGCCGCGGUAAUACGUAGGGUGCGAGCGUUAAUCGGAAUUACUGGGCGUAAAGCGUGCGCAGGCGGUUAUGCAAGUCAGAUGUGAAAGCCCCGGGCUUAACCUGGGAAUUGCGUUUGAAACUACAAGACUAGAGUGCAGCAGAGGGGAGUGGAAUUCCAUGUGUAGCAGUGAAAUGCGUAGAGAUGUGGAAGAACACCGAUGGCGAAGGCAGCUCCCUGGGUUGACACUGACGCUCAUGCACGAAAGCGUGGGGAGCAAACA